AUAAAGUUUUAUUUUGACUUGUAAAUUUAUUAUUAGUUUAAUUUAUAUGUAAAUUUUUGUAUGUUUUUUUAUUUAUUUAAAUAUUAAAUAAAAUUAUUUUAUUCGCAGUAAUUAAUAUUAUUUAUUAAGGAAACUUAGAAAUAGUAAUUCUAAAGAGUAUUGACUAAAUUUGUGCCAGCAGUCGCGGUUAUACUAAUAAUGCAAAUAAUUUUUUUUAGUUAAAGUUAAAUUGUUAUUGUAAUAAAAUAGUAAUAAAUUUAUUAGGUGAAAUUUUAAAUUUACAUAAUUUUUGUUAAAUAUAAUUGAAACUUGAAAAUUUUAAUAUUAAACUAGGAUUAGAUACCCUAUUAUUUAAAAUGUAAUUAAAAAAACUAAGGUAGUAGUAGUUAUGUUCUUGAAACUUAAAAAAUUUGGCGGUAUUUUAGUCUAUUCAGAGGAACUUGUUCUAUAAUCGAUAAUCCACGAUGGACCUUACUUAAAUUUGUAAUCAGUUUAUAUACCGUCGUUAUUAGAAUAUUUUAUUAGAAUGUUAAUUUUCAUAAUUUUUAAAAAGAAAAUAUAUCAGAUCAAGGUGUAGCUAAUAUUUAAGUAGAAAUGGGUUACAAUAAAAUUAUUUAUAUGAAUAUAAAUUUGAAAUAUUUAUUGAAGGUGGAUUUGAUAGUAAAAUUAUAUAGAUUAAUAAUUUGAUUUUAGCUCUAAAAUAUGUACACAUCGCCCGUCACUCUUAUUAUUAAGAUAAGAUAAGUCGUAACAUAGUAGAUGUACUGGAAAGUGUACCUAGAAUGCA
rnacentral:ncRNA from 1 species